GGUAAUGGGGGGUCGCUAGCCAUGCGAGUCAAUGUUCUUCGUGAACAUGGCGUACUGCUCAGUAACACGUGGAUAACCUGCCCUUAGGACUGGCAUAACCCCGGGAAACUGGGGAUAAUUCCGGAUAGUUCAUGGUAGCUGGAAUGCUCCAUGAUCGAAAGCUAUUGCGCCUAAGGAUGGGUCUGCGGUCUAUCAGGUAGUAGUGGGUGUAAUGUACCUACUAGCCGACGACGGAUACGGGUUGUGGGAGCAAGAGCCCGGAGAUGGAUUCUGAGACAUGAAUCCAGGCCCUACGGGGCGCAGCAGGCGCGAAAACUUUACAAUGCGGGAAACCGCGAUAAGGGGACACCGAGUGCCAGCAUCUUAUGUUGGCUGUCCGCAUGUAUAAAUCACAUGUGUUAGCAAGGGCCGGGCAAGACCGGUGCCAGCCGCCGCGGUAACACCGGCGGCCCGAGUGGUGGCCACUAUUAUUGGGUCUAAAGGGUCCGUAGCCGGUUUGAUCAGUCUUCCGGGAAAUCUGACAGCUCAACUGUUAGGCUUCUGGGGGAUACUGUCAGACUUGGAACCGGGAGAGGUAAGAGGUACUACAGGGGUAGGAGUGAAAUCUUGUAAUCCUUGUGGGACCACCAGUGGCGAAGGCGUCUUACCAGAACGGGUUCGACGGUGAGGGACGAAAGCUGGGGGCACGAACCGGAUUAGAUACCCGGGUAGUCCCAGCCGUAAACGAUGCUCGCUAGGUGUCUGGGAUGGUGCGACCGUUUCAGGUGCCGCAGGGAAGCCGUGAAGCGAGCCACCUGGGA
rnacentral:rRNA from 1 species